rnacentral:rRNA from 1 species
GACGAACGCUGGCGGCGCGCCUAACACAUGCAAGUCGAACGAGCGAGUGGAGGUUUACUUUCUCAAGCGAGUGCCGCACGGGUGAGUAACGCGUGUGGAACCUCCCUCUAAGAGGGGGACAACAGUUGGAAACGACUGCUAAUACCGCAUAAGCCCACGACCCCGCCUCGGUUAGAGGGUAAAGGAGCAAUCCGCUUUGAGAUGUCCUCGCGUCCGAUUAGCUAGUUGGUGAGGUAAUGGCCCACCAAGGCGACGAUCGGUAGCCGGACUGAGAGUCUGAACGGACACAUUGGGACUGAGACACGGCCCAGACUCCUACGGGAGGCAGCAGAGGGGAAUAUUGCACAAUGGGGGAAAGCCUGAUGGAGCGACGCCGCGUGGAGGAAGAAGGUCUUCGGAUUGUAAACUGCUGUUGUUGAGGAAGAUAAUGACGGUACUCAACAAGGAAGUGACGGCUAACUACGUG